UACAGAGGCUCCAAGCAUUACCCGGAAUUAUUGGGCGUAAAGGGUGUCUAGGCGGCCAUAUUAGUCUCUCGUUAAAUCCGUGGGCUCAACCUACGGUCUGUGAGGGAAACGGUAUGGCUCGAGGGCGUGAGAGGUGCAUGGAACUCAUGGUGGAGGGGUGAAAUCCGUUGAUAUCAUGGGGAACACCAAAGGCGAAGGCAAUGCACUGGUACGUUCCUGACGCUCAAACACGAAAGCCAGGGUAGCGAACGGG
rnacentral:rRNA from 1 species